AUACGGAGGGUGCAAGCGUUGUCCGGAUUUAUAGGGUUUAAAGGGUGCGUAGGUGACGUGUUAAGUCAGUGGUGAAAGCCUGCAGCUCAACUGUAGAGGUGCCAUUGAUACUGACAUGCUUGAGUAUGGACGAGGUAGGCGGAAUUUGUGGUGUAGCGGUGAAAUGCAUAGAUACCACAAAGAACACCGAUAGCGAAGGCAGCUUACUGGACCAUAACUGACACUGAGGCACGAAAGUGUGGGUAGCGAACAGGAUUAGAAACCCUAGUAGUCC
rnacentral:rRNA from 1 species